rnacentral:rRNA from 1 species
GUAGGUGGCAAGCGUUGUCCGGGAAUUAUUGGGGCGUAAAGCGCGCGCAGGCGGUCCUUUAAGUCUGAUGUGAAAGCCCACGGGCUCAACCGUGGAGGGUCAUUGGAAACUGGGGGACUUGAGUACAGAAGAGGAAAGCUGAAUUCCAAGUGUAGCGGUGAAAUGCGUAGAGAUUUGGAGGAACACCAGUGGCGAAGGCGGCUUUCUGGUCUGUAACUGACGCUGAGGCGCGAAAGCGUGGGGAGCAAACAGGAUUAGAUACCCUGGUAGUCCACGCCGUAAACGAUGAGUGCUAAGUGUUAGGGGGUUUCCGCCCCUUAGUGCUGCAGCUAACGCAUUAAGCACUCCGCCUGGGGAGUACGGCCGCAAAGGCUGA